rnacentral:rRNA from 1 species
CAGCCGCCACGGUAAUACGUAGGGUGCAAGCGUUAAUCGGAAUUACUGGGCGUAAAGCGUGCGCAGGCGGUUUUGUAAGACAGAGGUGAAAUCCCCGGGCUCAACCUGGGAACUGCCUUUGUGACUGCAAGGCUGGAGUGCGGCAGAGGGGGAUGGAAUUCCGCGUGUAGCAGUGAAAUGCGUAGAUAUGCGGAGGAACACCGAUGGCGAAGGCAAUCCCCUGGGCCUGCACUGACGCUCAUGCACGAAAGCGUGGGGAGCAAACAGGAUUAGAUACCCCUGUAGUCCCUGUCUCUUAUAC